rnacentral:tRNA from 1 species
CGGGGAGUAGCGCAGCCUGGUAGCGCGCAUGGUUCGGGACCAUGAAGCCAGGGGUUCAAAUCCCCUCUCCCCGA